UACGUAGGUCGCAAGCGUUGUCCGGAUUUACUGGGCGUAAAGAGCGCGCAGGCGGCUGGUCAAGUCCGAUGUGAAAUCUCCCGGCUUAACUGGGAAACUGCAUCGGAAACUGAUCGGCUUGAAGGUGGGAGAGGGUAGUGGAAUUCCCGGUGUAGUGGUGAAAUGCGUAGAUAUUGGAAAGACCACCAAUGGCGAAGGCACUCUACUGGGCCAUUACUGACACUGAGAGACGAAAGCUAGGGGAGCGAAUGGG
rnacentral:rRNA from 1 species